GGGUUGUGAGGUUAAGCGACUAAGCGUACACGGUGGAUGCCCUGGCAGUCAGAGGCGAUGAAGGACGUGCUAAUCUGCGAUAAGCGUCGGUAAGGUGAUAUGAACCGUUAUAACCGGCGAUUUCCGAAUGGGGAAACCCAGUGUGAUUCGUCACACUAUCAUUAACUGAAUCCAUAGGUUAAUGAGGCGAACCGGGGGAACUGAAACAUCUAAGUACCCCGAGGAAAAGAAAUCAACCGAGAUUCCCCCAGUAGCGGCGAGCGAACGGGGAGGAGCCCAGAGCCUGAAUCAGUGUGUGUGUUAGUGGAAGCGUCUGGAAAGGCGCGCGAUACAGGGUGACAGCCCCGUACACAAAAAUGCACAUGCUGUGAGCUCGAUGAGUA
rnacentral:rRNA from 1 species